GGGGCAGUGCACCAUGUGAAGGAUCAGAAAAUUCAGUAAGUAAUCUAGACUAUAUAUCUGUUCUAUUUAUUGUGAUUGCAAUAAAAAUCUUGGUUAUUGCUCAAAUUCAUGUAGAAGUUCCAAGGGUCUAAAAGCAUCCUGACAAGCUAUAAGAAGAAGGAAGGGGAUGCUACCGGACAGGGGUGGAUAUCCAACAUGUGAAAGGCGCCGACUUUGCGUGGCGCCAGGGAAAUGCGAGCGGAAUCUGCUACCACCUGGGAGGUGCUCCGGUGGGAGAGGGGCGUCGGCGAAGAGACGGUUGAGGAGGCAGAGGACCUGGGGGUCAGAACCAGCCACUGUACGAGACUGUGGUGGCAACAACGAUGGUGCAACCCAGCAAUCCCACCACAGAGCACACAGCAGGAAGCACAGACGCACCGCCCGAGGACCGUGCAGCACCGGGCACAGCACCCCUUGCAGUCACCCCAACCCGGUCACAGCUAUGCGGGCUCCACCCCGUGUCGGACAAUCCUCCACGCAACGGAAUGUGCACGUGCGUCACAGGGGAACAAGGUAGCUCGCUCUGCACGAUUCCACCUUCCUGCCACUCGGAUUAGGCAGAGCCUUCUGAAGAGAGAACGGCAGCUGCCUGGGGGAGGAUGGAGUGGACAGAGAUGGGGCGUCUGGCUGGUCUGGAUGACGUUCUCUCUAUUUCUGGGCACUGUAGACGCAGGCUGCUCUCUGCAUGCCAGCCACGCCUUGCAGUGUGUACUAGGUGCCAGGUCUGCCUCAGCUCCUCAGGACAGAUUCCCUUCAAGUACACCACCUGAUGUAGCUUCCACGGGACAGUUAGGAGCAAAACUCCUUUGGCGCGCACUCUAUAGACCUGCAGAAGAGGAGCUGAAACUCAGGAGGGCACACUGCUGCCACCAUGCGGCUCGUGGCUCUGAUGCUGCUCGUGCGGUGCACAUGUCUGUUGCCUUUCACAUGAAGCAGGGCAGUGCUCAGAUGAAGCACACCGAGUGUCUCAGGGAAAUGUUCACACAAAAAGCCAGGCCGAACUGAUCACCGUGUUUUUCUACUGGGCUUUUAAUUAACUUCAGCCCAGGCAACUGCUUUACAGCGUAUCUAUUAAAACGACAAAGCUCCUCUGCACCUGAGUGUUCCAUAGCCAGACACGCUGCAAACCCUGAGAAACUCAAAGGCGACUUCGGAACAGUUGUCUGGAGGCCUGAAGCCAGACCUGCACACUUGCUGAGCUCUGUUUC
rnacentral:lncRNA from 1 species